UUGAAAGCCCGACCUUACAAUGUCAGGUGAAGCAAGUAAGAUUCGUCAAGCGCUGGUGGACAAAAUUCGGUUGCUAUCAAACACUCCAAAAAGAAGAAAUUGGAAGUUACCUAUUCUCUGUCAGACUCUGGAGAUAUAUUUGAAGAGAAAAAGUCCUCUCAGUGUAAACGCAGGCCAAUAAUCUGGCCCCAAAAAAAUUGCAAUGUUCGCACCAAUCAUAUAAUUACGCAUAAAUCUUCAACAAAUAAAAAUGAUGCUUUUCCAAGUCGUCUUCCAACUCUCUGUCGAUCAAAAUCUGUUGCUGAGAUCAAAUUGAAAGCAGCAAGCAACAAAAGCAAAAUGGAUCUGAGUCCAGCCACUGCGUAUGCAGCAAGAAGAACUCCUCUUCCGUUCCGGAGCUUUCCAAAAAUACCGAGAACACCAGUGAAUGCUCCCAGUAUCCCUGGAGCUCCAAAAUUUGAUCAUAAAGUUAAUUGCAAAAUUCCGAUUCUGCAACGUUCGAAAUCUUGCGUAUCUAUGAGAAGAACUGUCUUCACAAGUACUCCGCUGAAAGAUUCAUCUGGCUCAUUAAUCCUUGGUCUCUCACCUAUUGUACCACAAAACGCUCCACAACCUCCUGUAAUAAUUCCCUCUCAAGAGCUCAAACGUACAACUGCAGAGCGCAUAGCUCAAGUGGACUCAAAUCUACCAUUGAAAUCAGCGGUGAAGAAAUAUCCACCUCUUCUACCAGAUGAAUCUGUGAUUCCAGGGCCUGCAGCCGACAUCAAACAUACCACUUUUAUUAAAACAACAGGAAACUUUGUUUCAAAACAGACUGUUGAGUCAACAUCAAAAGAACAAGCUGCAACUUCUACUGUAACAUUGAAAACUGUAAAACCAUCAAGGGCACGGAUUACAAAAUCUAAGACCUCCAGCUUUAAUCCUUUACAGAGCUCUGAUGAGAACAAUCGCAAUGAAACUGUAAUCUUUGUUGGAGACAAAAAUAUCAACGCCAAUGAAAACAUACUGAAACCAGCAUCAGUUGUCCCACGACAAAAAUCCAUCGCAAAAAAAAUUGAUGAAACCAUCAACCUCAGUUUGGAUGUGCAGCUUAGGAAUGGUACAACCAACAAGAGCCUGCCACUGAUAUCGAACAAUGAGAAUGUUGCUGCAAGUUCUAGCCAAGGUGAAUCAUCUAAAGUCAAGGUAACAAUGGAAACAAAAAGAGGAAAGAAAAAAGAUAAGAGUCAAACUGGAAAAACCGAUGAACCACCAAAAGAAGCACUGUCUGAGAUUAUCAGUCAGUCUGUUCCGCAAGAACCAGAAGGGAAUCAAACAGGUGGUGUUUCAAAGCCAAGAAAAAGACAGAAAAAGGAUGAAACUGUUCAAGGUCCAGUCCAAAGCAUGAAAAAUCCAGAAAAUGUCAAGAUCAGGUCUUCACGUAGAAAAAAUGGAAAAAACACUGUGCAGGUCAAUUGCGCAAAAGAUAUGGAUGUCUUGGAAAAAGAAGCAGAACACAAAUUGGAAGCCUUGUCUCCCUCUACUGCUGAAAUUGUCUCCAAUGCUCAUGAAGCUGGAGCUUCUAGUGAAACUGCUGACUCAAAAUUACUGGCAAACGUCACUACGAGGAGAAGAAAGACUGCAGAGCCAGCAAAUGAGGUACCAGCUAAACGUCCUCGGAGUGAGUUGGUAGGUCAAGCUGAAAAAGACACAAAGAAGUCCAAAGAAAGAAAAUCAAGCCGUGUUGCUGGAAAACUGGUAGCAAGACGUACCAGAAGAAAAGUAGAAAAUCAGCCCAUGGAAGAAAGUUCCAAAGAGAAUGAUGUCUUAAAAGAUGCAGAAACAAAAGAUGUUGAUGGGAUGUGUGUCAUAGCUCUCUCUGAGAGAGGACAAAACAUGGAAACAACCAGCAAUUCUGAAAGACCUAGAACUCGAGCUGCAAGGAGCAAGAGAGGAGAACCUGCUCUAUCAAAUGACCAAACAGAAGUGAAUGAUGAUCUCACACAAAAUACUAGAUCAAGGGUCGCGUUUGAAGCAGAGGUGUCGGAGCAACGUCAUGCCAAGUCUAGGAAGAGAAAUCUAGCAAGGAACCUCACUCCGGAUGAAGACUGUCUCCCUAGUUCAACUUCCGUUUUAGAUAGACCAAACGCCAAAACACGGCCGUCACGCUGUGAUGGCGACAGUGCAGAAGUUGGAAACAGUAAUCGUUCCCGGAGAGCUGCCACAAAUCUCUUUUUAACAAAUGAAAUGAAAUUGUCUGAAGUCAAGACAUUUUGGAACCAAAAAGUAUCGUAUCAUAUUCAUAACACACGCAGUGAAGAUCCCUCACAUAAGUAUGCCUCAUUGGCGCUAUUUCAGCAUGAGGACAGUAAAAUUCAAUGCGGUGUAUUAGAGAUUCCCCCUCAAAAUUACAAGCCAGAGCAAAAACACCGCCGUGAUUUAGUGAGUAGAGUUGCUGAUUUUAUCUUUUAA
rnacentral:lncRNA from 1 species